rnacentral:lncRNA from 1 species
AUAAAACCACAGCGCAAUCCUUGGGCUUGAUGUGCCGCUUCAUCCGUCUUCCUUCCAAUCCACCCCCUACAAUACCCCAACCCACUAAGCACACUUCUAAAUAUGUCUUCCCCACCAGAGCGCCCCUUUGGAGGAAAAGGACUUCCUUUUGCAGCCUGAAGCCACGGCUGGCUCUCCGAUCCCUGCUUAGAUGAGGCCCCAAUCUCGACGCCCUGCACGUCCGCCCCACCCCGGGCCCACUCGGGUACCCGCGGGUGACAAAACCCUCCCUCUUGCGCUCAGCCAGCACUGACAGUUAAGGCUGCAGCAGCCGCAGCCACCAGGGCCUAGUCCUGGCACCGGCCCCUCCAGACCACGCGCCCAAGCACUCGCUCACGGAGGCGGGUGAGGGCCCAGGCGCCUACCCUGUCAGCGCGGCCUGGAGGGUGACGAGGGGACCGGCGGUACAGACCAGAGGGAGCGCGCCGGGCAGGCCGCGGCCGCA